CCACAAGACAAUAUCCUUAUGUAGAAUUGAGAAUGAUAAUAAAAUUGGAAAUGAAUAUAGAUUAGAUUAAGAGUAGUUUAAGAUGGAUUCUGAUUCUAAUGGUUAAUCAAUCAUUUAAAGUUUUAGUGGGUAAUAAGUGGGUGUUAUGACUCUAAAGUGAAUUAACAAUCUGUUUUAUAUAGGACAUCUGAACUAAAAUGCAGAGUCUAUUUUACAGAUCUGUGCCUCACCGUUAAAAAGAUGCUGUUUGUGUUUGGAUCAGUUGGGCUUGUUUUACUGAGCUCUGUUACACUGAUGACUGAACUGAUACUGAAAACAGUUAAUGGAGAGCGUGUGGUGGAUCUGAGAGUCGUCGUCUUCACCUCUGAAAGUCUCUUUGUGUUUUCUAUGCUGAUUUUACUCUUGUUUCAACCCUGGAUUUCCAACAUAAAGUGUCAAUGUUGUCAGAAAGCAGCGAGGACUGAUGACGUUCCAGUCACUGAAUCAAACCAGGAUUCAAAGAAUGCAGCAGGAUCUGAUGAAGCUCCAGCCAGUGGAACAAACCAGAUGCAGAACACAGAAGAAUCACACGUAAUGGAAACUCUCCUGAAGACUGAAGAUCUGGAGGCUGGUAGGAGUGACAUGAGAGAAGAAACUCCUGAUUCAGAGGAAACACAGACAUGAUCUACAAUGAGAGAAAAACACUCUUUAUCCAACACUAUGAGCAUUUGUUCGAACUCCCAGAAGCACAGACAGUGAUUUAAGAUAAGAGAUCAAGCUUAUCCUUAAUUAGUAAUGUAGCUAUAUAUGUAUUUUUUUUUUUUUUUAAUUCUGUUUUCUUGGCUUUGUAAGUAGCUAUAAAUAUGUUUAAUGUGGCAACAGACUGAAGUAGUUUAAGUCUUUGGUUCUUUUAAUUGUGAUGACUUUGGCUCACAUUUAACAAAAAC
ensembl:lncRNA